GCACUCUUAGUUCAGUUAUGGUAGAACGUGGGUCUCCAAAACCCAAUGUCGUAGGUUCAAAUCCUACAGGGCGCG
rnacentral:tRNA from 1 species